ACUUUAUAUACUUUAUAUACGCUUAAUAUAUCUACACUCUAAACGUGUUCAUUAGUCUGUUUAACACAAACUGUCUUCUAGUACUACAAAGUGUCAGAAGUGUCCGUGCAGUGUAGAUUUUUGGGUGUUUGUAUUGGUUAGGGUUAGUAUUGGUAUGCUGCAAACCGGUUCAGACCAGGAGUGUGUGUGCUGGUUCAGACCAGGAGUGUGUGUGUGCUGGUACGCUGCAGACUGGUUCAGACCAGGAGAGUGUGUGUGUGUGCUGGUUCAGACCAGGAGUGUGUGUGUGCUGGUUCAGACCAGGAGUGUGUGUGUGUGCUGGUAUGCUGCAGACCAGGAGUGUGUGUGUGUGUGUGUGUGUGUGUGUGUGUGUGUGUGUGUGUGUGCUGGUACGCUGCAGACUGGUUCAGACCAGGAGUGUGUGUGUGCUGGUUCAGACCAGGAGUGUGUGUGUGCUGGUACACUGCAGACCGGUUCAGACCAGGAGAGUGUGUGUGCUGGGUCAGUGCCAUGACUCACUACAUUCCAAGGAAGACAGAAAGGGCUGAAGUGAAGCGCUAACGUGAAGCGCUAACGUGGAGCGCUAAUCACUGCGCUUUUCACAGCAAAAACAAAAUGGACUGGCACAGGACCACAGGCUGCAGUGCUGCAUACAGUAAGGUUCAGUAUUCUCUCCGAUGGAACUGAAGAGCACAACAGUGUCUGGGAGCACAGACGGCGGUGGUGAGCACAGACGGCCACGGUGAGCACAGACGGCGGUGGUGAGCACAGACGGCGGUGGUGAGCACAGACGGCCACGGUGAGCACAGACGGCCAUGGUGAGGACACCAGCAGGAGCUGCCCACCUGAGCGGCCACCUGUCUCAGAGACACUGCCUGAAUAUGGAUGAGCCACUGGCACCCAUUACUGAUGUCAUCAGUGUUGCUGUUCAUCAGACCAAAGCGAUGUCCAGUGUACGUCUAAGUGUGUGUGUGUGUGUGUGUGUGUGUGUGUGUGGGGGGGGGGGGUGCAUACAAAUGUGUGUGUUUGUGUGUCCCACAGUAUUGUCAGAGAUGUAAGUUUUGUCUAUCUUGUGCCUCUGUGUGUGUGGAUGUUUAGCUCACCAUGUGUUGAGUACCCUCAUGAAACAGCUCAAAUGUCUGGCCUUGCUGGCCAUCACAGGAAAUGCUGUCAACUGUACAACUUCCGAAUGUGACCACAGUGCCACCUAGUGGAGCAUGUGAGAUAUUACAUGGUAUCAACAUAGACGCUUAAUGGCCGAGGUACGCUUCUGCGGACACGGCUUUAUGCAGUACGGGUAUGGACAUGCGCUUUGGUGUAUCCCGAAAGGAUACUCAUUUGUGUGCUGUUGCGGACAAGCGGAAACAGACAAACUCACUCAUGUGUGACCUACCACCUUAUUGUACUGAGCACAUGGGAACUGCUGCACGCUCAGUUUCACGAAUGCACAGUCAAUACAGACAUGUCCGGAUGUGCGGAUGACAACAUUUGCAUCAUGUGCGGAGACCGUAUAUACCGUGUCCACAGAGGUGUGCCAAACGCUUUACAAGUAUACAGCCUAGAAUUGAUUACCAUUUGACCAACUUGUUAGUAUUGAUGCAACAAUGGCUGGAGUUCAACAUGCAACUUAAUCAACCCUAUGAAGACACAGCUUGUCCUCUAAAAGCCCAUCUGUUCAAUAGAUACUGAGUAAAGACUGUGCUUUUACUUAGGUUAAGAGACACGUCAUGACAUCAAAUGAAAAUGUUCGGUUGCAUGAUUGUGAAAAUGUUUGUUGAUAUCAUUUCAUUGGCCAGCUGGAGUACACUAUCAACAUGGUGAGGGACACAAUAUUAUGGUAUUAUAUGAAAAGAUAAUUUUUUUCUGUUUGAGCAAUAUUUCUGAUGUCAGUUUUUAAAAUCUGUAUCAUAGCCACAUGAAGUAUUUUGAAUCAAGCACAUUAUCAGAUAUUUUUAAGUAAUCCCAGGUCACUAUUUAUGCCUGAGUCUCUGUGUCGAUGGUAUCUGCAUUAUUUAGGGGAAAAACAACAUCUUUCUCAGAUGAGUGUAUUUACACUGUAUCUGGGUUCCCCGCUCUGUGUCGUUUACAUGACAGAUGCAAUCCCAAAGCAGCUCUUAUACGAGGAGGCUUCCUGUGUUGUCUGUGACCUCGGGCAUCUUUGAUUUCUCCAAAGACAACCAGUUUAGCGCACCAAAGUAACCACCUUUCAUCUACGUCUCUCAAGAGAACUCAGCUUCUUCCAUUGAGCCCUAUACACGAUCUGGACUUGAACUUAGAUACACGGACAAGCAGGAGUCAACCUGACUUGUUCACCACAGAGGAACAUUGAAAGGUUCUACUUCUGACACCUACCCUUGCUUGUGUAUUUACUCCUUUACAAUAUUUAUUUAGCUAUAAAACUGUUGGUCAAAACAGUUGCAAUGGGUUCUGAGAAGAACAGUUCUAAAUUGAACCUAUAUCGCACUCUGAGAUUCUUCUGAAUGAAGAGUGCAUUACAAAUAAAAUGAAUUAUUAUUUAUUAUUAUUAUUAUUA
rnacentral:lncRNA from 1 species